rnacentral:rRNA from 1 species
UACAGAGGGUGCAAGCGUUGUCCGGAAUUACUGGGCGUAAAGGGCGCGUAGGCGGCCGCCUAAGUCAGACGUGAAAUCCCUCGGCUCAACCGGGGAACUGCGUCUGAUACUGGGUGGCUUGAAUCCGGGAGAGGGAUGCGGAAUUCCAGGUGUAGCGGUGAAAUGCGUAGAUAUCUGGAGGAACACCGGUGGCGAAGGCGGCAUCCUGGACCGGCAUUGACGCUGAGGCGCGAAAGCCAGGGGAGCAAACGGG